CCUACGGGUGGCAGCAGUGAGGAAUAUUGGUCAAUGGGCGGAAGCCUGAACCAGCCAAGCCGCGUGAAGGAAGACGGUCCUACGUGUUGUAAACUUCUUUUGUCAGGGAACAAAGGCAGGGACGUGUCCCCUGAUGAAGGUACCUUAAGAAUAAGGAUCGGCUAACUCCGUGCCAGCAGCCGCGGUAAUACGGAGGAUCCGAGCGUUAUCCGGAUUUAUUGGGUUUAAAGGGGGCGCAGGCGGGCUGUUAAGUUAGGGGUGAAAUGCCGGGGCUUAACCCUGGCACUGCAGCGGAAACUGGCGGGCUGGAGUGGGAGAGAGGUAGGCGGAAUGCGUGGUGUAGCGGUGAAAUGCUUAGAUAUCGCGAAGAACCCCGAUUGCGAAGGCAGCGUACCG
rnacentral:rRNA from 1 species